CCUACGGGAGGCUGCAGUGAGGAAUAUUGGUCAAUGGACGAGAGUCUGAACCAGCCAAGUAGCGUGAAGGAUGACUGCCCUAUGGGUUGUAAACUUCUUUUAUAUGGGAAUAAAAUGUUCCACGUGUGGGAUUUUGUAUGUACCAUAUGAAUAAGGAUCGGCUAACUCCGUGCCAGCAGCCGCGGUAAUACGGAGGAUCCGCGCGUUAUCCGGAUUUAUUGGGUUUAAAGGGAGCGUAGGUGGAUUGUUAAGUCAGUUGUGAAAGUUUGCGGCUCAACCGUAAAAUUGCAGUUGAAACUGGCAGUCGUGAGUACAGUAGAGGUGGGCGGAAUUCGUGGUGUAGCGGUGAAAUGCUUAGAUAUCACGAAGAACUCCGAUUGCGAAGGCAGCUCACUGGACUGCAACUGACACUGAGGCUCGAAAGUGUGGGUAUCAAACAGGAUUAGAUACCCGUGUAGUC
rnacentral:rRNA from 1 species